AUCCUCCAAGGCUAAAUACUCCUGACUGACCGAUAGUGAACCAGUACCGUGAGGGAAAGGCGAAAAGAACCCCGGCGAGGGGAGUGAAAAAGAACCUGAAACCGUGUACGUACAAGCAGUGGGAGCCUCUUUUAUGGGGUGACUGCGUACCUUUUGUAUAAUGGGUCAGCGACUUAUAUUCUGUAGCAAGGUUAACCGUAUAGGGGAGCCGGAGGGAAACCGAGUCUUAACCGGGCGUUAAGUUGCAGGGUAUAGACCCGAAACCCGGUGAUCUAGCCAUGGGCAGGUUGAAGGUUGGGUAACACUAACUGGAGGACCGAACCGACUAAUGUUGAAAAA
rnacentral:rRNA from 2 species